CUCCCUCCCCCAUUGCCAUCCCCUUACCCUCGCCCCCCUCCUCACCCCCCCCACCCAUCCCAUUCAUGCCAGCACCUCAUUGGAUUUUUACCUCUUUAACAGCGACAACUUGGUUUUCUCCAACCGGCGGUGGACACAGUGAGGACAAGCAGCGGCCAGCAGCUGUUUGACGCAUGCAUGGACUCCACCAGCAGAGUCCGUACCGGGGAGAAAGGUUUUCUUUUAUUUUUUUUCCUCCAGUAUUCACAUUUUUAACAACCUUAUCUGCAGCAGUUGUUUUCUUGGAGAAAUGUUUGCGGUCACUCUUAGCGCCCACUGUGACGCGUGAAGUCACCUGAACGAAGGUGGAUAGACCACGCGGCACACUUUCUCUCCGUAAGUAUACGGCUUUUGCCUUGCACCUGUUAGUUUGUAUGUUAGAUGUCUGUUUGUUUGCUGCAGGCACGAGGAGUCCGUGCAUCCAGCAGUCUGAUGAAGCCUGACAGACUGCAAGGUCUUUUUUCUUUUCUUUUUUUUGUUUUUACGAAAAAUGUUAAUUCAAACACAAACAUCGGACAAGUAACCUACAUAAUUAUGCAGCACCAUUUUUCAUGUUUUUUUUUUUUUUUACUUUUAUGUUUAAUAUCAAAGUUGCAAUUCCGGCUAUUUAUUGUAUUUAUGAGGCAAAUGGGGAGUAUUGUAUUAUACAAUUUAUUAGUCUUAUUGUAACUAUUUUGCAUGAUUUCAAAUCUGUAAUAUAUUUUAUGGUUGCCAAAAUAAUAAUAAUAUGCUAAUUAAUAUUAUUACAUUUCAUAGUAUUGUAUUGAGAAAUUACCGUUGUAUAUUUUUGAUGUUAUUGACCGACAUAUUAAAUAAUUGCUGAAAAGAAACAAAAGGAGACUUGGUAGAAGCUACAGUUUAUUUGCAUCUUGUUAUAUAUA